CGGUAGGGGUUUUGUUGGUGGAUCCCAUAGCAGGAAGAAAAAAGAUGAUGCCAAAGCUAGUUGAGGAACGAAAAAUGGGCUUGUUCAUUGUUGCUUAAAUUUCUUUCUAUGAAUGAGGUUAUGUAUGCAUCGGGCAUGAGUAUGCUAAACAUCUUCAAGGAUAGCCCCCUGAGCACAUCGAUCCUUGAUGAUUUUAUGUUUUAUGAAGAGCGGCAGAAGAUUAUGCAGAAAGAGAAGUCUAGAUUUACAGGAAGAAGCUACGAAACUUAUAUACCUACAAAUUGUUUCUGCCGAGAAGUCCAGUGAUUCAGCUGGGCAGAGUGGUUCCUCCGAUCAGAUUGCAAAAUUGGACGAAGGUCAAGCAAGUGUAACAUCUUGUCAACCUCUGAAUGCUGAUGUCGAGCUAACUGCGUGUAGAAUCUGUUGAUACCUUUCCGAUAUUCAUGUUUUUGUGUUAACUAUGACCCUGGCAUUAAGCUCAGUUUGACAGAGUUUAUUAUUCACCAAUUAUUGUUUCUUCGUUUAGCUCUUGUGUUAAGGUGAUUGGUCUAGAGUGAUGGGGAUAUACUUUUUCUUCUUUGUUUUCAUUAUUUUAAUGUGGAAGUUUACAUAAUGUAAACUCUUCUAUUA